UUAGACACUUUCCUAAACACGUUUAGAAUUACAACACAUUUAGGCCAAAGACGGCAUUCAUAUCACGUGCUAAUUUUUGAGCGGGAAGAAGAAACAAAGAACCCGAAGUCAAAGGCCACGCUGUUUACUUCUGACCAUAACUGACCGUAACUUGACUGUUUCAGAAAGAUGAGAGAAGUGCAGAGGAAAUCAUCAUCUGUCUUGACAUGCUAAAAGAGGAGAUAAAGAACAGUAGCAAAUAUGUUGCUAGGCCAGUGACCAGCAGUUGGGUACUAAGAAAGGAGAAGCUCUGAUUGACUUGUAAAUUGAAAACAGGACAUUUUCAAAUUGUUUUGUUGUAGGGAUGGGGUACAAAUAGAAGUAGGACUGGUCAAUAUUAUGAACAUGUACUUUGUUAUGA